UACAAUGCGCAUGACGUAAGCACCUUCCCGCUUUAGCCUACAUCUCCCAUAAUCCCCUCUUGUUGACAUCACUAUGUGCCUACAUAUGACUUCCUGCUAGUCUGAUAGGCCCAGGCAUGCGAGGAGAUCCAAGCCGGCCUAUCCUGUAAGGCCACAUCCCCUUUGACUCUAUAUAAGCCAUGUACACUUCCAGAAUAAACGAGGCUCUAUUGGAAUCUCAUCCUGUCUCCGUCUCUCUUUUCACCCUUCAUCCCAGUCCCCUCUCCAGGCGACGCCUACGGACAGAUCCGCGGGACAGAUCAUCGGUGUGCAGGGUCCUGAGGGCUGCAGAGAGGACCUGGGCUUUGGCCUAGAGACAUGGGAGCUACGGAGGGCUGAGGGCAGAGGACCAAAGCACCGGCUCAGUGCUCAUGGUGCCCCUGGUGGCUGCUUCUGGGAGGACAGGCUGUGGAGAAGUAGCAUGGAAAAUAGAAACCAAUUUUUAAAAGCAGCCGAUUUCCCAGCUCAGGGUUCUAGGGGACAACAGGAACCCACUGUGUGCGCAACAGUCAUCUGGGUGCUUUGCACGGUCGCCAGGUACCCUGCAGACCUGGGCAACCAGUGCCAACCCCUGUUCAUGCCACUUCCUGUGGCUGGAGCACAGGAAUGCUCCGUUUCUUGAGCCUGGUGUGGGAGCACAUGCCUGUGACUCGAGAACUCAGGUGGCCAAGGCAUCACUGACAAGUUCAGGCCAGCCUGUGCUACGAAGUGAGUUCAAGACCCGCUUGGAUUACACAGCGAGACCCUGUCUCAGAGAAACAAAAGACACAGCGGGACGUGCUGGAGCACGUUAGUAACCCAGCACUCGGGAGGCUGAGGCAGGCAGAUCAUUGCAAAUUCAGGACCAGCCUGGACUACACACUGAGCACAAGGCCAGCCUGAGCUGCAUAGCAAGACCCUGUCUCAAAAAGACAAAAAAAAAGAAAAACACAAACAAACAAACAAACCAAAAGAAGUGCUUUGUUUCUGACCUAGGAACCUGUACUUAAUCUGUCCUGAUUAAUUUGGGGGGCGCAGUGGUACUGGAGAUGGAACACAGGGCUGUCCCACGACACGCCUUCCCAGCACUUUCUGCUUUUUAUCUUGAGGCACAGUUUCUGCUAAGUUGCCCAGAAACUUGCACAUCCUUGCCACCCUCCCGCCUCAGCCUCCCAGAGCGCCGGGAUGACAGCCUGCCCUGGGAUCGCUCCCAGCCGAAGCCUCCUCUGGUCCGCUCCCCGCGGCUCCUUUCGUGCUUCGCUCCGAAGCCUCUACCGGUCCGCUCUCCGCGGCUCCUUCCGGGCUUCUACUUCCCCCCAGGGGUGGCACCAGUAUACAUACGGAUACAGUGUCCAAUCAUAUUAAAGUAAGCAAGGCAAGC